rnacentral:rRNA from 1 species
AGCACAGCCGCGGGAAUACGUAGGUCCCGAGCGUUGUCCGGAUUUAUUGGGCGUAAAGCGAGCGCAGGCGGUUAGAUAAGUCUGAAGUUAAAGGCUGUGGCUUAACCAUAGUACGCUUUGGAAACUGUUUAACUUGAGUGCAAGAGGGGAGAGUGGAAUUCCAUGUGUAGCGGUGAAAUGCGUAGAUAUAUGGAGGAACACCGGUGGCGAAAGCGGCUCUCUGGCUUGUAACUGACGCUGAGGCUCGAAAGCGCGGGGAGCAAACAGGAUUAGAUACCCCAGUAGUCCCUGUCUCUUAUACAC